GUAAAAUUAGUUUAAAGUAAAAUAGUAAAUUGUGGUUUUACAGAUAAUUGUAUUUAAUUAUUUUACU
rnacentral:tRNA from 1 species